AGGGUGGGGGAGAAGGUUGGGAAUGGGUGCGGAGUUGGGUUGGGAGUUUCUCGGAAAGGCACUGGGAAUGAAAAGUGGGAAUGCGGGGUUAGGGCGCUGGGAGCUGUGGGGAAAUUAUGGGAGAAGGUGGGGGAGAAGGUUGGGAAUGGGUGCGGAGUUGGGUUGGGAGUUCCUUGGAAGGGCACCAGGAAAGAAACGGGAAGAUGAGAUUAGGUGGGAAUUGAAACUCCAAAAAAGAUGGGAAUAUGGGAUUGGGUGUUGGGAAUGUAGCUGUGGGAAAAGAUGAAGAGAAGGUUGGGAAUGGGUGUGAUGUUGGGUUGGGAGUUUCCCGGAAAGGCACUGGGAAUGAGAAGCGGCAAUGCGGGCUAGGGUGCUGGGAGCUGUGGAGAAAUGAUGGAAGAGGGUGGGGGAGAAGGUUGGGAAUGGGUGCGGAGUUGGGUUGGGAAGAAGGACAUGAGUUUGUCGGAAAGAUGCUGGGAAAAAAUGGGAAUAUUUGAUUAAGUGGGAAUUGAAGGCCCAAAAAAUAUGGGAAUAUGGGAUUAGGUGGGAAUUGAAGGCCCAAAAAAGAUGGGAAUAUGGGACUAGGUGUUGGGAAUGUAGUGGUGGGAAAAGAUGGAAGAGAAGGUUGGGAAUGGGUGUGGAGUUGGAUUGGGAAGAAGGACGGGAGUUUGUCGGAAAGAUGCCUGGAAAAUAAUGGGAAUAUUUGAUUAAGUGGGAAUCUAAACCUCAAGAAAUAUGGGAAUAUGGGAUUAGGUGGGAAUCUAAGGCCCAAAAAAUAUGGGAAUAUGGGAUUAGGUGGGAAUUGAAGGCCCAAAAAACAUGGGAAUAUGAGAUUAGGUGUUGGGAAUGCGGUUGUGGGAAAAGAUGGAAGAGGGUGGGGGGGAAGGUUGGGAAUGGAUGUGGAGUUGGGUUGGGAAGAAGGGAAUGUUCUCCAUCUGCUCCCAACACCACGCUGAUAAAGGGACGGAAAAGUGGGAUUAGAUGUUGGAAGCAUGGAAGAGGGUGGAGGAGAAGGUUGGGAAUGGGUGUGGAGUUGGAUUGGGAAGAAGGUUAGGAGUUUCUUGGAAAGGCACUGGGGAAAAAAUGGGAAAAUGGGAUUAGGUGGGAAUCCAAACCCUAAAGAAUGUGGGAAUAUGGGAUUAGGUGUUGGGAGUGUGGUUGUGGGGAAAGAUGGAAGAGGGUGGGGGAGAAGAAGGGUUGGGAAUUCCUGCGGAGCUGGCUUGGGAAGAAGGGAAUGGUCUCCAUCUACUCCCAGCUCCUCUCCCAGCACUGGG
rnacentral:lncRNA from 1 species